GGAACUGCUUAACUAGAUCAAGUGGCUUUUGCUGCAAUGAGAUCCAACAGUGCCAUUUCUAAGUAAUUGACCAGCAACUUGGCGUUUAGUUCUUGGAGCACUGGUUCCAGAAAAUGUAAUUUUUGUCAGAAGAAGAGUUGCCAUCAAAACAUGACUUUACUGGAAUCGUGUCACAGCACUACAAAUUCUGGAUUUAUGAACUUUGGUACCUUGGUUUAAUAUGGACCUUUUGGUCUGUCUUAGUGGACCAUUUAAUUUUGAUUAUGAGCUGAUGUAUAAAAAUUGAUUUUGUACAUCUUUUUCAGUCAUCUAAUGUAUGUUCAUAAAAAGUAUUAGCAAUUGCUUGACUCUAUGAUAUAAAUGGUUAUUUAGAAGCAUA